UACGGUCACAUUGCGUUGAAACACCGGUUCUCGUUUGAUCACCGAAGUUAAGCAACGUCGAGUCUGGUUAGAAGCUAGAUGGGUGACCGUUUGGAAAUUCCAGGUGCUC